rnacentral:tRNA from 1 species
GGAAGCGUGUCAGAGCGGUUUAAUGUGCUGGUCUCGAAAACCGGUUGGGAGCAAUCCCUCGGGGGUUCGAAUCCCCCCGCUUCCGCCA